ensembl:misc_RNA Metazoa_SRP Metazoan signal recognition particle RNA
GCCAGGUGUGGCGGUGUACACCUGUAGUCCUAGUUACUUGGGAGGCUGAGUUGGGAGGAUGGCUUGAGCCCAGGAGGUGGAGGUUGCUGUGAGCUAAGAUCAUGCCACUGCACUCUAGCCUGGGCAACAAAGCCAGACCGUGUCUCAA